AAAAGACAAGGCAAAACAAGAAACAGACCAUUUUUUAUGUAAAAGACUUGCUGCAUGAACUCCAUGACUCACCAUAUUGGUGGGACUGCAUUCCCAAAUACUAGCCCCGAACACCAGGAAUUCCGACCUCCAUUUAUCAGCACCCCAAGUCAGUUGUGAAGAUCAUCAGAGGCUGCAGAAGCCAAACAAAGAGAUUGUCCAGGGUAGAAUGUGACAUUUUGCAAUGUGCUUAAACUGCUAAAGAGCCAGAGGAGAGGUGGGGUUUGCCAGAGUGACCAUGUCAUCAGUGCACAGAGAAUAAAAAGAGGCACAUCACAGGCUGUGCAAGCACCCGUCCUCUCCAAGAAUGGCUUCUCAUUUCCAGUGCAAAGAAAACCACAACAAACACACCCAAAUAUGAGCCAGUCACACAAGCAUUACCACAUCUCAGCCCAGCUUCGGGACGCUUCCUUGGCUGCUAUCCACAAGUGCAGCUCCACUGUUAAAAGCGGAACUGUCACUUGACAGGACGCAAGGUGAAGGACCUUGUCCUUUCAGGCCUGGU